GGCGUGCCUAACACAUGCAAGUCGGGCGGUAACAGGUGUAGCAAUACAUGCUGACGAGCGGCGAACGGGUGAGUAACGCUUCGGAAUCUACCCAUGGGUGGGGAAUAACCAGCCGAAAGGUUGGCUAAUACCGCAUACGUCCUACGGGGGAAAGCAGGGGAUCGCAAGACCUUGCGCCGAUGGAUGAGCCGAAGCCGGAUUAGCUAGUUGGUAGGGUAACGGCCUACCAAGGCGACGAUCCGUAGCUGGUCUGAGAGGACGACCAGCCACACUGGGACUGAGACACGGCCCAGACUCCUACGGGAGGCAGCAGUGGGGAAUAUUGGACAAUGGGGGAAACCCUGAUCCAGCGACGCCGCGUGUGUGAAGAAGGCCUGCGGGUUGUAAAGCACUUUUAGUGGGGAUGAAAAGUUCAGGGC
rnacentral:rRNA from 1 species